rnacentral:lncRNA from 1 species
UGCCAAGCACGGGAUGGCUGCCAAAACACAUAUCAUUAGCUUGGACCAGCUAUAAGCAAGGAAAUGAGAAACAUAUGUUGGAGAGCAAGGUUAGGAGCGAGGGACUAUGGGUCAGUGACAGUCGUCCGAAAACUUUUCCCUUGUUCUUCAGCUGUGGCCCGAUGGUGUCAAAUGUCACUGUGACAGCCCUCAUUUCUCAUGACGGUCGGGCUUAUUUUGGCCUGGUUGGUUUUUGUUGUGUUUUUUUUUUUCCCCUCCCCUAAUGGGAGUUAUUGAGAGGAAGAAGAGAACAGACAAGGCCGUGUUUUGCGACAGUGAUUCUGCACCGCCAGGAGAAGCACAGCGAGCACCGGGACAACAACGGCGAAAGAAGGAACGCGAUCGGAUUCCUUCUGCUGGGAUUUAGCAGAUAAGUGGAAAAGCUGAGUCUGAGAAACUGAAGAAACUGCCAGUAGCCCAGAGACCACAAUUUGAUGACAUUUCAUUCUUAAUCAGGUUAAAAAAAAAAUUGAAUUACGUUGAUUUAUUUUGCCUCUCUUUCAGGCUGUCCCACUCCAAAGCUACAUAGGAAGGUGGAUUAAAAUUUAAAAAAACACCGUGUUUUACAGAAGCUCGGCGUCUUACCAGUGCUGAUGGGCAACCUGAGAGCCGGGGGCUCCCAGCAGCCCCUGCAGGCUGACAGAGGCCGGUCCUCCCUCGGAGGUGAAGGGCAGGUGGGCCGUGAAGGAAAGCCGCCCCGUAGGGCUGCUCCGCCACCACCAACUCCAUCAUUCACUCACUGAUUUAAAACACAAACGUCCUCCGUGGCUUUGAAAAUAAUGCCCUCCAUAAGCCAAACAACUGUGUAUCUGGGAAAUCUUAGUGGAGUAUCUUGGCAACAAGAACACUUUAAUAAAACACAGAUCUCAUACAGAAAGAGCAUCUUUUGGGCAGAGGAGAUGAAGUGGAUGAGACACCAAGCCCAGUUUGAACAAUACACCGAAUUAAGCCCGAGAACUCGGACUGAGUUGGUAACUCCAGGGAAGACACCGAUGCUUCAGAAAGUGGGAACCAUUUCCACACUUACAAAUGGUUCUGUGGGCGUGAAUGCUUCCGCAGCUCCCAGGCCAGGCAAGAUGACCUUUCCAGAACUUGUAAAAUCAAAUCACAUAAAAAUAGAUUCAGACUUUCUUAAAAUGAAACCGCUUGAAAAAGAAGCCCAACAACUGAAAUGCUGGAGGAAAACAGAACGUGCCUGAGCAAAUAUACUUCAAAAUGAAAUUUUAAACUUGGAAUAAUGACAGUAGUUACGUCUCCAUCUCUCUUUCUCUCUCGCUCGCUGCCAUUUCCAGAUCACUCUUAUCAGAGCUCUGUCAGCCCCUAAACUGACAUUUUCCCAUCCUGAUCAUUCCCAGGAUAGAGAAGAAGGAUUUUUUUUUUUUUUUUGCUUGGCUGAUGCAAACAGCAGAUCAUCCUACAGAGAAACGUCAAGGACAGUUCGGAGUCCUAAUCCCUGACCUGGCGGCCCUUUCCUAACUAGCUAUUGACAUUGAACUUAAAAAGCUG